rnacentral:rRNA from 1 species
AACGUAGGAGACAAACGUUAUCCGGAUUUACUGGGCGUAAAGGGCGUGUAGGUGGUUUCGUAAGUCUGGCGUGAAAUUUCUCGGCUUAACCGAGGCAGGUCGUCGGAUACUGCGGAACUUGAGGACGGUAGAGGCGUGUGGAAUUCCGGGUGUAGUGGUGAAAUGCGUAGAGAUCCGGAGGAACACCAGUGGCGAAGGCGACACGCUGGGCCGUACCUGACACUGAUGCGCGACAGCAUGGGGAGCAAACAGG